rnacentral:rRNA from 1 species
GAUGAACGCUGGCGGCGUGCCUAAUACAUGCAAGUCGAGCGAACAGACGAGGAGCUUGCUCCUCUGACGUUAGCGGCGGACGGGUGAGUAACACGUGGAUAACCUACCUAUAAGACUGGGAUAACUUCGGGAAACCGGAGCUAAUACCGGAUAAUAUAUUGAACCGCAUGGUUCAAUAGUGAAAGGCGGUUUUGCUGUCGCUUAUAGAUGGAUCCGCGCCGCAUUAGCUAGUUGGUAAGGUAACGGCUUACCAAGGCAACGAUGCGUAGCCGACCUGAGAGGGUGAUCGGCCACACUGGAACUGAGACACGGUCCAGACUCCUACGGGAGGCAGCAGUAGGGAAUCUUCCGCAAUGGGCGAAAGCCUGACGGAGCAACGCCGCGUGAGUGAUGAAGGUCUUCGGAUCGUAAAACUCUGUUAUUAGGGAAGAACAAAUGUGUAAGUAACUAUGCACGUCUUGACGGUACCUAAUCAGAAAGCCACGGCUAACUACGUG